CCCUUAGACGUUCUGGGCCGCACGCGCGCUACACUGACACAGGCAACGAGCUUUCCUCUACCGAAAGGUAUGGGUAAUCUUUUGAAACUGUGUCGUGCUGGGGAUAGAUCCUUGCAAUUUUUGAUCUUAAACGAGGAAUUCCUAGUAAGCGCGAGUCAUCAACUCGCGUUGAUUACGUCCCUGCCCUUUGUACACACCGCCCGUCGCUACUACCGAUUGAAUGGCUUAGUGAGGCCUCAGGAUCCGCGCUUAAUGUGUGGAGAAUUUGGACAAACUACGUCAUUUAGAGGAAGUAAAAGUCGUAACA
rnacentral:rRNA from 1 species